rnacentral:lncRNA from 1 species
CAUUUACCUUUCUCUAUUUCUGUAUACCUUUCUUUACUUCUUGGUCCAUGGGUUGCUGUGUAGCUGGGUGGCUGGCCCCUAGAGUCUUCCUCUCCUUCUUUUGCUCCCUGAUCCUCUCCUCCCAGAGUUCUCCUCUAUUUUAUUCUUUCUGCCUGCCAGCCCGGCCUAUCCUUUCUCCUGCCAGGCUAUUGGCUGUUCAGCUGUUUAUUAUACCAAUCAGGAGUUUUUGACAGGCAAAGUAACCAGCUGCCCAGAGUUUCCGCAGGUGUCAAUAUAAGGGAGAAAUAAUGGUGCUUCCUUAAGGUCAAAUAAAGUCAUAAAUCUGCACAAACCAGACUUUGGUUAAAAAGAGCGAAGUGGCUAGCAUUGGGAUUAGGGAUUUUCUUUUAGUUUUUGUUGUUGUGUUUUGUUUUUCAACACAGAGUUUCUCUGUGUAACCCUGGUGUCCUGGAACUCCCUCUGCAGACCAGGCUGGCCUCAAAUCCAGAGAUUCACAUGCCUCUGCCUUGAGAGUGCUGGGAUUAAAGGUUCAUAUGCCUACAGUGCAAGGGAACAGCAGAGCAGAGGCCUGGGACUUGAAAUGGAGCCACUCACAGCCUGAAUAACAAGACAGAGAAAACCGGCAUGUCAGAGGGAGUGAAUAAAGUUAAGCCUGAGCAGUAGGAUGUACUUUGCUUCCCUGAACCUGUGUGAGAGGUUCAAAGUUCAGGGACCUGUGUGCAGAAUGCAGAUCCUGUGUGAAGAUGGAGCCAAGGACCCUGGGCAGAGAACUGCAGAAGACACAGACCCCAAGCAAUCCCUUCCCUUUCUGUUGCCCCUUCCCUGGAAAUGCCUGCACCAAACAGCCAGGAAUGAAAAGAACAAAUGUCACUCUGAAUGACAAGGAGCCAUUUGAUACUCCAGCGGCUCUUGUUUUUGGCUGCACACUGGAAAGUUUCCAAAGUACUCAUGAGUGUACCAUACUGCCUCCUGUGAUCUGAAAUGAAGUGGUGUCACAUGACCCCAGCAUACGUAAUUUUUUAAAGUCACUCAGCUGGUUGUUUAAAGUGGGUUUUUGUUUGUUGGGUUUGUUUUGUUUUUGAGACGGGGUUUGAAUGUGAAAUGCUCCCCAUGUUUGAACAUAUGAUCCCCAG